rnacentral:rRNA from 1 species
GUAGGGAAUAUUGCACAAUGGGGGAAACCCUGAUGCAGCGACGCCGCGUGAGUGAUGAAGGCCUUCGGGUCGUAAAGCUCUGUCGUAUGGGACUAACACAAUGAAGGUACCAUGCAAGAAAGGAUCGGCUAACUUCGUGCCAGCAGCCGCGGUAAGACGAGGGAUCCUAGCGUUGUUCGGAAUCAUUGGGCGUAAAGCGGGUGUAGGCGGAUUUAUAAGUCAGGUGUGAAAUCUCAGGGCUCAACCCUGGAAGUGCACUUGAUACUGUAAAUCUUGAGUAUGGUAGAGGUUACUGGAAUUGUUGGUGUAGUGGUGAAAUACGUAGAUAUCAACAGGAAUACCGGAGGCGAAGGCGAGUAACUGGGCCAACACUGACGCUGAGACCCGAAAGCGUGGGGAUCAAACAGGAUUAGAUACCCCGGUAGUCC